GGUCGGCUGGUGUAGUGGUUAUCACGUCUCGUUCACAAACUGAAUUCAUGGGUUCUUCCCACCGAGAAGGUGCCAGGUUCGAUCCCUGGGUCGAUCA